UACGAAGGGGGCUAGCGUUGCUCGGAAUCACUGGGCGUAAAGGGUGCGUAGGCGGCGGAGUAAGUUGGGUGUGAAAUCCCGGGGCUCAACCUCGGAAUGGCAUUCAAUACUGCUUCGCUAGAGUACUGGAGAGGAGGCUGGAAUUUACGGUGUAGCAGUGAAAUGCGUAGAUAUCGUAAGGAAGGCCGGUGGCGAAAGCGAGCCUCUGGACAGUUACUGACGCUGAUGCACGAAGGCCAGGGGAGCAAACGGG
rnacentral:rRNA from 1 species